rnacentral:rRNA from 1 species
AACCGUGCAAAGGUAGCGUAAUCACUUGUCCCCUAAAUAGGGACCCGUAUGAAAGGUUAAUUGAGGACAAAACUGUCUCUUGCGACCAAUCAAUGAAACUGAUCCCCCAGUACAAAAGCUGGGAUAUACACAUAAGACGAGAAGACCCUGUGGAGCUUUAAGCUAUAGCACUGACACACCAUCCAAUCCCCAAACCCUUGGGAUAAACUCAUGAAACAGUACUAACUUUUAGUUGGGGCGACUGCGGAGAAAGACCAACCUCCAUGAAACCAGGCUAACAACCACCACAAGACCAACAAGUCACACGGUUAAACCACUUGACCCAGCACAGCUGAUUGCCGAACCAAGUUACCCCAGGGAUAACAGCGCCAUCCCCUUCAAGAGUCCUUAUCGCCAAGGGGGCUUACGACCUCGAUGUUGGAUCAGGGCCCCCAGAUGGUGCAGCCGCUAUCAAAGGUUCGUUUGUUCAACGAUUAAUGCCCUACGUGAU